UUCUACAAUUGCCAGAAAUGGGAAAAACAGAACAGAAUGAGAUGGAAAAUUUUGGUUUUUGUGGGGAUCAGCAGAGUGCCACUCUAGAAGAAAGCUUAUGCAAAGAAAGUUUUCAAAAACUUCUCUGGUUUUUCUCCUUUCGAUGGAUGCCUUGACUUUUACAAUAGGAAGAAGGAGCUGACCUGGCCUUGAUUGACUCUUGCUUUUGUUUAUUUUAAAGGUGGGGUCGCAAUGCUUUGCUGGACAAUGGAAUCUAUUGUGAUUUUUGCACCAACCACAAUUGUCGGAGAUCAGAUUAGACGGUCAUCGGCCUCUGCUACCCAAACUGUUCAUCUGGGAUCCAGGUGAUAAGAUUUCCUUUUCUCGGCUCUUUUCUAUUUUUAUAUGGCCCAGAAUUCAUGUGAUGCUUUAUUUUACACGAUUUUGUAAUUUAUUGUUUGUAUAGUGUGUAAAAUGAAAAUAACACUAAACUUUUUU